AAGUCAUUGUGGGUGCAGUUCCUCAAUAAGCCUUUGUAUCUCUCCCAUGCCUCAUAGAGUGACUCACCCGGUUGUUGCUUAAAAUUAUAAAUGGCUUUCUUCAACUU